GGCAGGGGGCGGGCCCUCCGCGAGGGGUAGGGAAGGGGCGGAGCGGCCAGGCCACCAGCCGGCAUUGCUCCAUUGGGCAAGCCACGCUGAGGGAUCCACCUAAGAGCCAAUCAAAGGCACAAACAUCAGACGAAGGGGCGGGAUCGCCACAGGGACCCUCUUCGGAGGUCAGAGCUCGGCGGGGUGCGGCUAGUGGCGGAGCGCGCUGCGAGGGGAGGGCUUUCCACUGUCGCUGGCGUGAACUCGCGUGCCCGGCUUCACCAGGUACUGCCUUCUAACGAGCUGGCCAUUUCCACAUGUCAGAUAGGACCAACUUGCCUUUUAACUACCCGUGUGAUACUUAAACACUGUUGCCGGUAUCACAGCUUUUCUUCAAAACAGGAAGCAACGAGAAUGAGGGCAUUCCAGUAGCAGGAGACAGCAUGCAUAGAGAUGCUGAUGAAGAAAGAGCCUAGCGCACGUGGGAAACUGCAAAAGUUCAGACUGGUUGGAAUGCUGGAAAUGUUGUGAAUGACAGGAGAUGAGGCUGGCGAGAAAACAGAGGUCAGAUUGUGGAAGGCUGUCAAGCCAAAGACUUUGAUUUUAUUCUUGAGAUUGAUGAGAUGUGUGUAAUCCAGGAGUGUGCAAAACAAUCUGUAAGGGUUCAGAAAACAUACUGCUUCUAUAUAUAGUUACCUUUGUCUUAACUUGAAAAUUUCAAAUUGUGUAGGAGUUACAAUGUGUGUAAUUGUUAUUAUAGUACUGGAUCCAAAUAAUUUAUAAAUAAAUAAAUAUAGACAUAAUAUGGUGUAUUACAGGUUAAAUUGUGUACCUCAAAAAUUCAUGUUUAAGUUCUAACCCUCAUUAUCUCAAACUGUGACCUUAUUUGGAAAUACUAUCAUUGCAGAUGCAAUAGUUAAUGAGGUCAAGUUAAGAAGCAAUAGGAGGCCAGGCAUGGUGGCUCACACCUGUAAUCGCAGCACUCUGGGGAGGCCAAGGUGGGUGGAUCACCUGAAGUCAGGAGAUCAAGAGCAACCUGGGCAACAUGGUGAAACUCCGUCUCUACUAAAAAUACACAAAUUAGGCUGGGCUUGAUGUCUCACACCUGUAAUCCCAGCACUUUGGGAGGCCAAGGCGGGCGGAUCACCUGAGGUCAGGAGUUCGAGACCAGCCUGGCCAACAUAGUGAAACCCCAUCUCUACUAAAAAUACAAAAAUUAUUUUGUAUUUUGGUGGCGGACACCUGUAAGUAAUCCCAGCUACUCGGGAGGGUGAGGCAGGAGAAUCGCUUAAACCUGGGAGGUGGAGUUUGCAGUGAACCAAGAUCACACCACUGCACUCCAGCUUAGGAGACAGGGCUAGACUCUGUCUCAAACAAACAAGCAAACAAACAAAAGAAAGAAGAAAAGAAGGAGCGAAAAGGUGGGCCCCCAAUCCCUAAUCCAGUAUGACUAAUGUCCUUCCAAGAACAGAAAAUUUGAACAGAGACACACAAACGGGAAGAAUACCUAUGCCUUUUGAAGGUAAAGGCGGACAUUGGGGUAAUGCUUUUACAAGCCAAGGAACUCCGAAGGUAGCCAGCAAACUGUCAGAAGCUAGGCGAGGGUCCUGGGACAGAUUCUCCUCACAGCCCUCAGAAGGAAUCAGUCCCGCUGACACCUUGAUCUUGGACUUGUAGCCUCAGGAACUGUGAGGCAAAUGUCUGUUGUUUAAACUAUCCAGUUUGUGAUACUUUGUUACAGCAGCCCUAGCAAAUUGAGCUACUUGGUCAAAAACUUCAGGCAACACUGAUGAGAUGAUGUAAAGGCUUUAAAGAGUUGGUUUAUGUUUAAGAGUCCAAAUUAUCAACGUCCUAUCUUUACUCAGUCUCUGUAUUCAAGAAUUGACCUUAGGCCAGGUGCAGUAGUUCACGCCUGUAAUCCCAAUACUUUGGGAUGCCAAGGUAGGAGGAUUGCUUGAGGUCAGGAGUUUGAGAUCAGCCCUUGUAUAUUAGUUCGUUCUCAUGCUGCUGAUAAAGACAUACCCAAGACUGGGUAAUUUAUAAGGAAAAAGAGGUUUAAUGGACUCAC
rnacentral:lncRNA from 1 species